rnacentral:ncRNA from 1 species
AUGAAUUCGAUGAUAGGAAGUAGUAACAAGCCCGUUUUUUUCAGAGAGUCAGCGGUUGGUGGAAGCUGAUAAAAACACUUGUGAAUCCGUCCUUGAGAUGCUUUUUCCGAAAUAAUAGUAGGUGGAAGCCGGCUUACCAAAGUCGUUAAUUGUUAAGAGGAAUAGAUUUUUUCUAUUCAAUUAGGGUGGCAACGCGGGUAGCUCUCGUCCCUUUC